GAUGAACGCUGGCGGCGUGCCUAAUACAUGCAAGUCGAGCGAAUGGAUUAAGAGCUUGCUCUUAUGAAGUUAGCGGCGGACGGGUGAGUAACACGUGGGUAACCUGCCCAUAAGACUGGGAUAACUCCGGGAAACCGGGGCUAAUACCGGAUAACAUUUUGAACCGCAUGGUUCGAAAUUGAAAGGCGGCUUCGGCUGUCACUUAUGGAUGGACCCGCGUCGCAUUAGCUAGUUGGUGAGGUAACGGCUCACCAAGGCAACGAUGCGUAGCCGACCGGGGAGGGUGAUCGGCCACACUGGGACGGAGACACGGCCCAGACUCCGACGGGAGGCAGCAGGAGGGAAUCUUCCGAAAUGGACGAAAGUCUGACGGAGCAACGCCGCGUGAGUGAUGAAGGCUUUCGGGUCGUAAAACUCUGUUGUUAGGGAAGAACAAGUGCUAGUUGAAUAAGCUGGCACCUUGACGGUACCUAACCAGAAAGCCACGGCUAACUACGUGCCAGCAGCCGCCGCCG
rnacentral:rRNA from 1 species